rnacentral:rRNA from 1 species
UGGGGAAUAUUGCACAAUGGGCGCAAGCCUGAUGCAGCCAUGCCGCGUGUGUGAAGAAGGCCUUCGGGUUGUAAAGCACUUUCAGCGAGGAGGAAGGGUAGUGUGUUAAUAGCACAUUGCAUUGACGUUACUCGCAGAAGAAGCACCGGCUAACUCCGUGCCAGCAGCCGCGGUAAUACGGAGGGUGCAAGCGUUAAUCGGAAUUACUGGGCGUAAAGCGCACGCAGGCGGUUUGUUAAGUCAGAUGUGAAAUCCCCGCGCUUAACGUGGAACUGCAUUUGA